rnacentral:rRNA from 1 species
GGUGACGAAGAGAUGACAACGCCGCGAACUGACGGAAUAGUUCGUUGAAGGCCGUAUGCUAUGAGACUGGUAGGCAAAUCCGCCAGUUGAGCUGAAAGCCGAUAGUACCAAGCGUUUACGGACAAUUGGAUAGUGCGUGUAAUUUGACUUCCAAGAAAAMCCWCUAAGCWUCAGGUURWARWKRCCCGUACCWCAAACCGACACAGGUAGUCAAGUAGAGAAUACUAAGGCGCUCGAGUGAUUCAUGGCUAAGGAACUCGGCAAAAUARYYCYGUAACUUCGGGAKAARGRRYGCUCWCAGYRAUGWGAGCCGCAGWGAAAUGGCCCAGGCGACUGUUUAYCAAAAACACAUGGCUUUGCAAAAWCGAAAGWUGAAGUAUAAGGCCUGACACCUGCCCGGUGCUGGAAGGUUAAGUGGAGGGCUUAGCGUAAGCGAAGGUCUGAAAUGAAGCCCCAGUAAACGGCGGCCGUAACUAUAACGGUCCUAAGGUAGCGAAAUUCCUUGUCGGGUAAGUUCCGACCUGCACGAAUGGUGUAACGAUCUGGGCACUGUCUCAGCCAUGAGCUCGGUGAAAUUGUAGUAUCGGUGAAGAUGCCGAUUACCCGCAACGGGACGGAAAGACUGAAAUUGUAGUAUCGGUGAAGAUGCCGAUUACCCGCAACGGGACGGAAAGAC